rnacentral:misc_RNA from 1 species
AAGUCGUAACAAGGUUUCCGUAGGUGAACCUGCGGAAGGAUCAUUAAAUUCAGUAGCUUGCUACUGUUAGGGGGGUCUAUUAGUCUGUAUAGUAUCACUACUGAUGAGCAGCACGACCCUCUGUCUAUACCCUUGUCUUUUGCGCACUCAUGUUUCCUCGGCGGCUUUAUACCCGCCGGCUGGAUCAAUCUAUAACCUUUUUAAUUUUGCAAUCAGCGUCUGAAAAACCUAAUAAUUACAA